AGCUCUGUCUGGUAACCACCAUUGUCUAAGGGCUGAAGCUCCCGGGGAUUGGAUUUUUGCUUUAGCAAAAAUAAUGUUCAGUUCUACUUUGAUGAUGAUAUUUGGGGAGGUUUUGGAGAUGGGGUGUUGCACCUUGAUCUCCAAAUGUAACUAUUCUGUUUGUUAAUUAGCUGCUCUCAGUGGGGGUGGAGGUCAAUACCAUAUUUAUGUGUACGGUUGUUGUUUAAGGAGGAGGGGAAUUGUUAGGAGACAUUUUGCGUGUUUUCGUUGGCGGAUUAAGGUUAAUUUUACGUGCGUUGGUUGUCACACCUCCUUUGGCUGAGGGAAUUAAGAUUAAAUGCCUUUUGAAAAUCAUACAUUCUUUGCUUAAAAAUUGUUUCUUUGUUGUACAUGAUCAAAAUACCGAACAAAUGAAAGAGGGAGAUGAUAAUUGAAAAAUAGUUUAAACGGUUUUCACUGGUUACUGUUACAGAUAGUCCUUGUGAAAGCAGUUUACUAUACGUUGCUUGAAAGGAUGUGUUCAAGCCAGUUAGAGGUCUUGUGCUGCAUUACUGGAAGAAGGUGUAAAAGUGCCUCUGCCAGCAUCAUUGAUAAGUUCUUCAUCAAGUGAAAGCUUGUGCUGAAGUGCUAGUGAUUUAUAAGCUUGUACACUUUAUUAUACAAGUAUCCCCUGAGAAUGACAGAUGGGCUCUGUUUUUAAGGAACUACUUGCUUGAAACUGAUGAUACAGUAGCCUUAGUUACCAGAGGAAUAAGAUUUCAUUAUUUCAUGUCUGCUCUUUCAGCACUUAACAGUCCAGCAUUAGUGCUAAUAGUUCUUUCUUGUCUGCAACAAGCAGUGUGAAGAUUGUCACCUUCCUUUCUGUUUUAUCUUAUUUUUUUCAUGCAUAGCCACAUUCAGUAAUUGUUACUGGUUAAAUUUGAGAGGGAUAGGAGCUUUUCAAAGUGCCUUGCUUAUUCUUUUUUCUGCAGUGGUUUCUUCUUUUUGCAGUAGUUUUUUUUAAAUUACGAGAUUUUAAAUAAAUUCUGACUUCUGAAAUGCUCUGAAACCCUUUCUGUAUCAUUUACGUUACCAAUAUAAAUCAGCAAGAUCUAAGUUUGGGUGGUGGUAGUGUUCUAGAGACUGAAUGUAAAUAGCAUUUCAGAUCAUGAUGUCUUGUAAAUAAGUGUGUUGAUAUUGUCUUCUGGUAUAUAUUUUUAAGAAUGAGUGUGUGUAUGUAUCUGGCGUUUCAUUUGUAACUUUAACAUUAGACAGUUUGCAAGACCAAAGUCUCUUAGUGGGUUUUUCAGUUCAGUGCUAUUAAGAUAAAGUUUUGUUAUGACUCCCUACUCUUUACUGUAUGUUUUACCAUUUAAUUAUUCAUUGAAUUACCUUUGUGCCACAUUUAGAAAGUUACUGCAGCCUAAAUAUUAAGCCAAGUUGUGGUGCUUUGAUGUAACUGAGAAAGAAACAUGUACCAAGUGAAGGAAACUACCCAGAGUUGGAGUCAUUCGUCUUGUUUUCAUGGUAUUUGUCCUUCUUCAUUACAUUCAUUGUUUUGCCAUUGUUUUACAUCCAGAAACUGAGAAUAGGUUAAAGUUAGAUCGUGUUGUUAGAAUUUAAGCUCAAUUGCAGAAAUAAACAACACUUUCAGGUUUUUCAUAGCAUCUGUAAUCCCACAUACCUAGUAGUUGUAAGUCUCAGGAUGCCUUAAUGGAUUUUUCUGAUUCUUUCUCCGUAUCUCUAUUGCUGUCUCUCACAGGGAACCUAUUCUCUAUUUCUGAGUUAUUUGGUUUGAGAACCUAUUAGGUGAAGUCUUUAAUGCUGAAACACUGAGCUGGGAGAUCUGGAGGUAGUGAAUUUAAUCUGAGUCUGUAAAGUUAAGUCUGGUUUUAGAGGGCUAGAAAAAUGUCACAUAGCAAUCAUAGACAUACUUUGAUAACAUACACAUAAACACAGUGAAACUGGGAAUGUGUACUCUUGAUAUUGUGAAGUGUCUAAAAUUGCUUGGUAAAAUGUUAACAGUAAUGUCCUUAGAAUGAUGGAGGUGAGAUGAUUUUUUUAAUUCUUCCUGUAGUUUUUUUUCAAAGACUAUGGAAUCUGGAAGGGGGAGGAGUGUGUGUGUGUAUGUUUAAGAAUUUAAUAGUUCUAAUUGUGAUGUAAAGUCAUUCUACUUGGUUUGAUGACAUAGUCCCCACAUGGGUCAUUUUAAAUGUGAAUAAAAGCGUAAAACUACAUUUUUUAAUGCCAUAAGUGUGUUUUAAAUGCUUAUUCAUGGAUAUUUUGGGGUUUUGUAUUCGUUAUAACUUUAAGAUAGUUAUAUAACUGUGUCAUAUAUGGGAAAU